rnacentral:rRNA from 1 species
CGCUGGCGGCGUGCCUAAUACAUGCAAGUCGAACUAGUUCUGAUUAUUGAAAGGUGCUUGCAUCUUGAUUUAAUUUUGAACGAGUGGCGGACGGGUGAGUAACACGUGGGUAACCUGCCCUUAAGUGGGGGAUAACAUUUGGAAACAGAUGCUAAUACCGCAUAAAUCCAAGAACCGCAUGGUUCUUGGCUGAAAGAUGGCGUAAGCUAUCGCUUUUGGAUGGACCCGCGGCGUAUUAGCUAGUUGGUGAGGUAACGGCUCACCAAGGCAAUGAUACGUAGCCGAACUGAGAGGUUGAUCGGCCACAUUGGGACUGAGACACGGCCCAAACUCCUACGGGAGGCAGCAGUAGGGAAUCUUCCACAAUGGACGCAAGUCUGAUGGAGCAACGCCGCGUGAGUGAAGAAGGCUUUCGGGUCGUAAAACUCUGUUGUUGGAGAAGAAUGGUCGGCAGAGUAACUGUUGUCGGCGUGACGGUAUCCAACCAGAAAGCCACGGCUAACUACGUGCCAGCAGCCGCGGUAAUACGUAGGUGGCAAGCGUUAUCCGGAUUUAUUGGGCGUAAAGCGAGCGCAGGCGGUUUUUUAAGUCUGAUGUGAAAGCCCUCGGCUUAACCGAGGAAGUGCAUCGGAAACUGGGAAACUUGAGUGCAGAAGAGGACAGUGGAACUCCAUGUGUAGCGGUGAAAUGCGUAGAUAUAUGGAAGAACACCAGUGGCGAAGGCGGCUGUCUGGUCUGUAACUGACGCUGAGGCUCGAAAGGCAUGGGUAGCGAACAGGAUUAGAUACCCUGGUAAUCCAUGCCGUAAACGAUGAAUGCUAGGUGUUGGAGGGUUUCCGCCCUUCAGUGCCGCAGCUAACGCAUUAAGCAUUCCGCCUGGGGAGUACGACCGCAAGGUUGAAACUCAAAGGAAUUGACGGGGGCCCGCACAAGCGGUGGAGCAUGUGGUUUAAUUCGAAGCAACGCGAAGAACCUUACCAGGUCUUGACAUCUUUUGAUCACCUGAGAGAUCAGGUUUCCCCUUCGGGGGCAAAAUGACAGGUGGUGCAUGGUUGUCGUCAGCUCGUGUCGUGAGAUGUUGGGUUAAGUCCCGCAACGAGCGCAACCCUUAUGACUAGUUGCCAGCAUUUAGUUGGGCACUCUAGUAAGACUGCCGGUGACAAACCGGAGGAAGGUGGGGAUGACGUCAAAUCAUCAUGCCCCUUAUGACCUGGGCUACACACGUGCUACAAUGGAUGGUACAACGAGUUGCGAGACCGCGAGGUCAAGCUAAUCUCUUAAAGCCAUUCUCAGUUCGGACUGUAGGCUGCAACUCGCCUACACGAAGUCGGAAUCGCUAGUAAUCGCGGAUCAGCACGCCGCGGUGAAUACGUUCCCGGGCCUUGUACACACCGCCCGUCACACCAUGAGAGUUUGUAACACCCGAAGCCGGUGGCGUAACCCUUUUAGGGAGCGAGCCGUCUAAGGUGGGACAAAUGAUUAGGGU